rnacentral:rRNA from 1 species
UACGUAGGGUGCGAGCGUUAAUCGGAAUUACUGGGCGUAAAGCGUGCGCAGGCGGUUAUGUAAGACAGAUGUGAAAUCCCCGGGCUCAACCUGGGAACUGCAUUUGUGACUGCAUAGCUAGAGUACGGUAGAGGGGGAUGGAAUUCCGCGUGUAGCAGUGAAAUGCGUAGAGAUGUGGAGGAACACCGAUGGCGAAGGCAGCCUCCUGGGCCAGCACUGACGCUCAUGCACGAAAGCGUGGGGAGCAAACAGG